GCCAGGCAGCCGCGGUAAUUCCAGCUCCAAUAGCGUAUAUUAAAGUUGUUGUGGUUAAAAAGCUCGUAGUUGGAUCUCGGCGGACUGAGGGCGGUUUGCUUGCUAGUAUUACUGCCCUAUAGUCCGUAGUUUUGCCAGAGGUUUCGGGGUGCUCUUAAUCGAGUGUCCCGGGAUGCUGGCAGGUUUACUUUGAAAAAAUUAGAGUGCUCAAAGCAGGCUAUUACGCCUGAAUAUUCGUGCAUGGAAUAAUAGAAUAGGAAGUCGUUUCUAUUUUGUUGGUUUUCGGAAAUCGACUUAAUGAUUAAUAGGGACAGUCGGGGGCAUUUGUAUUCAAACGACAGAGGUGAAAUUCUUGGACCGUUUGAAGACAAACUACUGCGAAAGCAUUUGCCAAGAAUGUUUUCAUUAAUCAAGAACGAAAGUUAAAGGUUCGAAGGCGAUUAGAUACCGCCCUAGUUUUAACCAUAAACGAUGCCAGCUAGCGAUCUGCGGACGUUUUUUUUGUAGACUCCGCAGGAAGCUUCCGGGAAACCAAAGCAUUUGGGUUCCAGGGGAAGUAUGGUUGCAAAGCUGAAACUUAAAGGAAUUGACGGAAGGGCACCACCAGGAGUGGAGCCUGUGGCUUAAUUUGACUCAACACGGGAAAUCUCACCAGGCCCGGACACUGGAAGGAUUGACAGAUUGAUAGCUCUUUCUUGAUUCGGUGGGUGGUGGUGCAUGGCCGUUCUUAGUUGGUGGAGUGAUUUGUCUGGUUAAUUCCGAUAACGAACGAGACUCUGUCCUGCUAAAUAGUGUCUGCUUCUCUUUUGAGCAGACAAUUCUUCUUAGAGGGACUGGCGACUCUUAGUCGCACGAGAUUGAGCAAUAACAGGUCUGUGAUGCC
rnacentral:rRNA from 1 species